rnacentral:rRNA from 1 species
GACGAACGCUGGCGGCGUGCUUAACACAUGCAAGUCGAACGGAAAGGCCCUGCUUUUGUGGGGUGCUCGAGUGGCGAACGGGUGAGUAACACGUGAGUAACCUGCCCUUGACUUUGGGAUAACUUCAGGAAACUGGGGCUAAUACCGGAUAGGAGCUCCUGCUGCAUGGUGGGGGUUGGAAAGUUUCGGCGGUUGGGGAUGGACUCGCGGCUUAUCAGCUUGUUGGUGGGGUAGUGGCUUACCAAGGCUUUGACGGGUAGCCGGCCUGAGAGGGUGACCGGCCACAUUGGGACUGAGAUACGGCCCAGACUCCUACGGGAGGCAGCAGUGGGGAAUAUUGCACAACGGGCGGAAGCCUGAUGCAGCAACGCCGCGUGCGGGAUGGCGGCCUUCGGGUUGUAAACCGCUUUCGCCUGUGACGAAGCGUGAGUGACGGUAAUGGGUAAAGAAGCACCGGCUAACUACGUG